GUCCACGCAGUAAACGAUGAUAGCUCGUUGUCGGCGAUACACAGUCGGUGACUUAGAGAAAUCGAUAAGCUAUCCACCUGGGGAGUACGUUCGCAAGAAUGAAACUCAAAGGAAUUGACGGGGGCCCCGCACAAGCGGAGGAACAUGUGGUUUAAUUCGAUGAUACGCGAGGAACCUUACCCGGGCUUGAAAGUUAGCGACGGACUUGGAAACAGGUCUUCCCUUCGGGGCGCGAAACUAGGUGCUGCAUGGUUGUCGU
rnacentral:rRNA from 1 species